rnacentral:rRNA from 1 species
UGAAUACGAGACGCUAAGGCGUCGAAGUAGUGUAUGUCAUACUUCCAAGAAAAGCUUGCACUGUCAUAGAUAAAAAACGCCUGUACCAUAACCGACACAGGUGGGUAGGUAGAGUAUACUAAGGGGCGCGAGAUAACUCUCUCUAAGGAACUCGGCAAAAUAACUCCGUAACUUCGGGAGAAGGAGUGCCUUAUUCGUAAGGUUGCAAUAACAAGAUCCAAGCAACUGUUUAUCAAAAACACAGGUCUCCGCUAAGUCGUAAGACGAUGUAUGGGGGCUGACGCCUGCCCAGUGCCAGAAGGUUAAAGAAGUUGGUUAGCAAUUGCGAAGCUGAUAACUGAAGCCCUGGUGAACGGCGGCCGUAACGAUAACGGUCCUAAGGUAGCGAAAUUCCUUGUCGGGUAAGUUCCGACCCGCACGAAAGGCGUAAUGAUUUGGAUACUGUCUCGGAGAGGGGCUCGGUGAAAUAGACUUGUCUGUGAAGAUGCGGACUACCUGCACCAGGACAGAAAGACCCUAUGAAGCUUUACUGUAACUUGAAAUUGAAAUUGGACUUUAUUCGCGCAGCAUAGGUGGGAGGCGUUGAUUAUAAUCUUGCGGGAUUAUUGGAGCCAUCAGUGAGAUACCACUCUUGUAAUGUUAGAUUUCUAACUUUGAAUCAUUAUCUGGUCAAAGAACAGUUUCAGGCGGGCAGUUUGACUGGGGCGGUCGCCUCCUAAACGGUAACGGAGGCGUACAAAGGUUUCCUCUGAACGGUUAGAAAUCGUAUCUAGAGUGUAAAGGCAUAAGGAAGCUUGACUGUGAGACCUACAAGUCGAGCAGGGACGAAAGUCGGUCUUAGUGAUCUGACGGUACUGAGUGGAAAGGCCGUCACUCAACGGAUAAAAGUUACUCUAGGAUAACAGGCUGAUCUCCCCCAAGAGUUCACAUCGACGGGGAGGUUUGGCACCUCGAUGUCGGCUCAUCGCAUCCUGGGGCGGUAGUACGUCCCAAGGGUUGGGCUGUUCGCCCAUGAAAGCGGUACGCGAGCUGGGUUCAGAACGUCGUGAGACAGUUCGGUCCAUAUCCGGUGUAGGCGUUAGAAUAUUGAGAGGAGCCUUCUUUAGUACGAGAGGACCGAGAAGGACAUACCUCUGGUGUACCAGUUAUCGUGCCAACGGUAAACGCUGGGUAGCUAUGUAUGGAGUGGAUAACCGCUGAAAGCAUCUAAGUGGGAAGCCACCUCAAGAUAAGUAUUCUCA